GACGAACGCUGGCGGCGUGCUUAACACAUGCCAGUCGAACGGAAAGGCCCUGCUUUUGUGGGGUGCUCGAGUGGCGAACGGGUGAGUAACACGUGAGUAACCUGCCCUUGACUUUGGGAUAACUUCAGGAAACUGGGGCUAAUACCGGAUAGGAGCUCCUGCUGCAUGGUGGGGGUUGGAAAGUUUCGGCGGUUGGGGAUGGACUCGCGGCUUAUCAGCUUGUUGGUGGGGUAGUGGCUUACCAAGGCUUUGACGGGUAGCCGGCCUGAGAGGGUGACCGGCCACAUUGGGACUGAGAUACGGCCCAGACUCCUACGGGAGGCAGCAGUGGGGAAUAUUGCACAAUGGGCGGAAGCCUGAUGCAGCAACGCCGCGUGCGGGAUGACGGCCUUCGGGUUGUAAACCGCUUUCGCCUGUGACGAAGCGUGAGUGACGGGAAUGGGUAAAGAAGCACCGGCUAACUACGUG
rnacentral:rRNA from 1 species